UGUGCCAGUCUUCCUCCACUUUGUAUAUGGGUCACCGACACAGCAUGGCUGAUGAGUGGUGUAGGUCCAUGUCCAGGAUCUGAACUUGCAAACCCGGGCUGAACUUAGCCAACUAGGCCGCUGGGGCUGGCCCUGUAAAUUAUCUUUUGACUUUGUGUAGGGUUUGUUUUGUUUUGCUAUGCAGAUAUUCUUUAUUUCUGUGUAGUUAAAUUUUUCAGUUUUUGUUUUAUUGCCUCUGGAUUUGAGUCAUAGUUAGAGGGUCUUUUUCUACACCAAGGUUCAGGAGCAUUCACUCAUGUUUUCUUCUAGGAAGGAUAUAGUUUCACUGUUUUACAUUUAGAUCACUAAUUCAUUUGAGGUUCAUUUUUGUCUGUGGUGUGAGAUACAGAUCUAGUUUUACCGUUUUCCAAAUGGCUUCCCACUUGUCCUAGCACCAUAUGUUGAAAAGUCCGUCUUUCUCCCAGUGGCUGGAGAUGCCACAUUUCCAUAUACAUUCAGAUUUAUUCCUGGGCUUUUUAUUCUAUCCCACUGGCCUAUUUGUCUGCUUAUCACCAGGACCACUCAGUUUAGUUAUAAAGUCUUUAUGGUAUGUUUUAAUGUCCAGUAGUUGUGGUUUUCCUGGCUAUUCUUGCGUAUUUGUUUUUCCAUGUAACCUUGAGAAUCAACUUGUAUAAGUCUAUGCAAUAGUUUAUUGGUAUUUUUACUGGGAUUAUGUUGAGUUUAUAAAUUAGAGAGAACCAUCAUCCUAUAAUGUUGAGUUAUCCUAUCCAAGAUUAGAGAAUGCCUUUUCAUUUGUUCAUAUCUACUUUUAUGUCUUUCAAGAAUGUAUUAAAUUCUCCUUGUAUAGGUUUUGUGCAAUUCUUAAUAAAUUUAUUCUAGAGGCUGGCCCCAUGGCUGAGUGGUUGAGUUUGUGCGCUCUGUUUCAGCGGCGCAGGGUUUCGCUGGGUCAAAUCCUCAACGCAGACAUGAUACUGCUCAUCAGGCCAUGCUAAGGUGGCAUCCCACAUAGCACAACCAGAAGGACUGACAACUAGAAUACAUAGCUAUGUACUGGGGGACUUUGAGGAGAAGAAAAAGAAGGAGAAAAAAAAAAGAUUGGCAACAGAUGUUAGCUCAGGUGCCAAUCUUAAAAAAAAAAUUUAUUCUAAAACAUUUAAUCUUUAUUGUCAUUAUUUUAAAUGGAGUUUCCUCUAACUACUUACUGUUUUAUAUUGGAAAGCUGUUGAUUUUUCUAUGUUAAUUUUGUAUCCUGCCAUUCAACGGCUUCUUUUAUUGAGUUUUAUCAUUGAUUCUUUGGAGGUUUCCAGAUAUACUUUAUGAUGUCAUCUGCAAAUAGAUAGUUUGACUUCUUCACCCAUUCUUAUGCCUCUCAUUCCUUUCUCUUUUGUAAUGAUGUUAGGUAACAUAAAACCUCUAGGACAGUGGGUGAACAGAAAUGGACAGUGGGCAUCUUUGCCUUGUUCCUGAUCCUAGUGGAAAUGCUACUAGUCCUUCCCCAUUGAAUAAGACACUGGCUUUAGGAUUAAAUUUCUAUGAAGAUCCUGUUAUCUUUUCCUUUGGUUUGUUAAUAUGGUAAAUGACACUGGUGGAUAUCCUGAUACUGAAUCCAUCUUUCAUUUCUCGAAAACAUCCUACUUGGUCAUGGUUAUGCCAAGGGUGUGGUCUGAUGUGGAAUUUACUCUCCCUUUUGUGUACUCAUACCAUUUGGGAAGAACUGCAGGGAAGUAACUGAGCUACACGAUUGCCCGCGUCUUCAGCCGCUUGGAGAUCAAGCACUUCUCCCAGGAGACCGUUCUGCCUGGUUUAAGGGGCUCAGAGUUUGACAUUUUUCAUUUUAAUCUUUAAGUAUCUGUUUUAAGACAUGUUAGAGAACAGUAAAACUAGCAGUCUAAACCCA